rnacentral:rRNA from 1 species
UACGGGAGGCAGCAGUGGGGAAUAUUGGACAAUGGGCGCAAGCCUGAUCCAGCCAUGCCGCGUGAGUGAUGAAGGCCCUAGGGUUGUAAAACUCUUUCAGUGGUGAAGAUAAUGACGGUAACCACAGAAGAAGCUCCGGCUAACUCCGUGCCAGCAGCCGCGGUAAU